rnacentral:rRNA from 1 species
AUUCCAGCUCCAAUAGCGUAUAUUCAAGUUGUUGCAGUUAAAAAGCUCGUAGUUGAACUUUGGGCCUGGUUAAGUGGUUUAGCCGCAAGGUUAACACUGCUUUGACUGGGUCUUUACUUUUAGGAAAUUAAAGUGCUAUUCAUUUAGUGCUUUAAGGAACUAAAACUGUUACUUUGAAAAAAUUAGAGUGUUUAAAACAGGCUUAUGCUUGAAUACAUUAGCAUGGAAUAACGGAAUAGGACUUUGUUUCUAUUUUGUUGGUUUGAGAAAUGAAGUAAUGAUUAAUAGGGACAGUUGGGGGCAUUAGUAUUCCAUUGUCAGAGGUGAAAUUCUUGGAUUUAUGAAAGACUAACUUCUGCGAAAGCAUUUGCCAUGGAUGUUUUCAUCA